AAGCCGAAAGUUGACGAAACUGUUGUCAGAAACGCGGCUGUUGAAGCAGCAAAACUGUGGUUGGAAAGGAAUUCUCGUCCAUGGAGUACAGUAUUGGACAAGUGGAUUGAGUCUUUCGAAGACAGAAAACCCAGACUCUUGAAUUCUAACAACGUUGAUGAAAUUCUCGCGAAACAGCGUCAUUACUCAGACGAGCAUGGAUAUCAGAUCCGACUCGGAAGUACACCUUGGUUUCCAAUAAAGUUGAAAUUGAUUUCAAAUUGCUGAAAUUAGGCGAAGACAAUUGUAUUAACAAAUGGAACCACUUGUUGCCAAAGAUUAUCCGGUAUCUCGACCAACCCUUCAAAGACGACGUAUCAGUGACGCUACUGAAUUUAAUAAAAUCGCCAGAUACGAACAAAGAUUCUACAAUAUCGGCUGUGCUCAUCCUACUGAAUAACGUUUUAAAACCAACUAAAGUAACUAAAACCUACAAGCCGUCGAUAUUAUCAGCGCAG